CCCGAAAGAUGGUGAACUAUGCCUGAGCGGGGCGAAGCCAGAGGAAACUCUGGUGGAGGCUCGAAGCGAUACUGACGUGCAAAUCGUUCGUCUGACUUGGGUAUAGGGGCGAAAGACUAAUCGAAGUGUCUAGUAGCUGGUUCCCUCCGAAGUUUCCCUCAGGAUAGCUGGAGCCCAUUACGAGUUCUAUCAGGUAAAGCCAAUGAUUAGAGGCAUUGGGGACGCAACGUCCUCGACCUAUUCUCAAACUUUAAAUAGGUAGGAUGGCUCGGC
rnacentral:ncRNA from 1 species